GUUCAUGCCAUCGUCACAUAAAUAAUGCUGAAAUAAUUGGUUGCUUGAAGAGGAUUUUCUGGCUAUAUUAUUGCAUUCGACAGAGCACUUUAAACAAUUAUAAAUGAAGUCGCCACAAAUAAAAUGUGCAUUUAACUAUGAAUGCUGCAGAAUCAUUCUCUGUGUCCAAUGAAAAGCCUCGACGACAACCUUUGCAUUGCUUCCGAUUCGUUGUAUCAGUAUCUUAUUGUACUUUCCUUUUGGAGGGACUAGCAUAUUGCCAUUGUAACACACUAGUUAAGCAGAUUAGGAACAAUGGGGGACUACCUGAAGAACAUUCAUCUUUUGGCAGGUACAAUUUGCAAGUCCCCAGGGUCCAACCAAAAACCAUCAUCCGUGGCAUCCGUUUACCUGCAAUAAUUCAAUCAACUUCCAUUAAUUAAAUAUCAAGACAAAAUGUCUAAUUCGUUAGCAGUUUAAUCCUAAACAAACAAUCACAAUGUUCAAUCCUAGCAUCAGGUGAUGCAUUUUGCAGAUUUUGGGUCCAGAUGGCUGUAUCUAGUUUAAUGACUGGUGAUGCGAGUAUACAUACAUCUAAAUGCCACGCUACAGUACCUUCCAAUUCUUCUCCAAGGAGAGGUCUGGGCACUGAACAAAUGUGUGCAGCGAUUGUCAAACUGAACUGAAUCAAUAAUGCCGUGCUACCAUAGAAUGAAAAUCGAUGAUACUGCUAAAUUCAAUUGAUGGAACACCAACAGGCUACGAUUUGGCGUUAGUACCUUGCGCUUGAAGAUUUGUCGCUGCAAUUCCAAUCAGGCUUCCAAAAGACACUAUUGUAAAGAUAAGUAUAGCAAACAAUCACAUAAGUUGCAGGCAGAAGGAAUUGCAUCUUUUGUGAUUUAGCAGUCAGCGCCUAGCUGAAUUAGUUAGUCCAUUUCUAAAAAAAAAAAGCUGAAUUAGUUAGUGCUGUGCAGAUUUCAAGAAUUCAUACCUUGAUUAAAUCAACACAGACUAGUCCCUCGUGCAACUCGCCUAGCUGGUCGAGUAAUUCGAUGGAGGGGCUCAGUGUGAUGGCAGGUUGUGCCCAUUCAUCGCAAAAUCCAGAUCCUCACUAGGGAGCAGCAUCGGCAUAAGCAUUUUACCGAACACGUGGGGUGCGUCCGACAUGGUGACAACUGACAACACGUGCUCAUCCGGCCGGUGCCAGCACAAAGGGGGCAAAGAGCAGCUGAGCACGCGAUGCAGAGUGAGGAGUGGGGGCGCAGCCCGACUGCGGACGUCGGUGCAGACGCGGACGGAGAGGCGGCGAGCCGGCGACGAGCUCGCU
rnacentral:lncRNA from 1 species